UACAGAGGUCUCAAGCGUUGUUCGGAUUCAUUGGGCGUAAAGGGUGUGUAGGUGGCGCCGUAAGUCGGGUGUGAAAUUUCGGAGCUUAACUCCGAAACUGCAUUCGAUACUGCCGUGCUUGAGGACUGGAGAGGAGACUGGAAUUUACGGUGUAGCGGUGAAAUGCGUAGAUAUCAAGCGGAACACCAGUGGCGAAGGCGAGUCCCUGGACAACUCCUGACACUGAGGCACGAAAGCUAGGGGAGCAAACAGG
rnacentral:rRNA from 1 species